UCUCAUCUUCUUACUGCAAUCAUCACCCUCCAAAUGAAAAAAGUUCCGGAAUCCUAAAUCAAAACCCUAGUUUCAAAUCGCGAGAUCAAAAUCUGUAGAGAAUAAUCAAGAACAAAAACCCCAAAUAACAUAAUCCAAAUCAAAACCCUAACCCCAAAUCGCGAAAUCAAAACCUACAUAGAAGAAUCAAGAAUAUAAACCCCAAACAACAUAACCCAAAUCAAGACUCUAGCCCCAAAUCGCGAGAUCAAAACCUGUAGAGAAGAAUCAAGAACAA
rnacentral:lncRNA from 1 species